AGAAUGACUCUCGGCAACGGAUAUCUCGGCUCUUGCAUCGAUGAAGAACGUAGCGAAAUGCGAUACUUGGUGUAAAUUGUAGAAUCCCUUGAACCAUCGAGUCCUUGAAUGCGAGUUGCACCCGAAGCCUUCUGGCCGAGGGCACGUCUGUCUGGGCGUCA
rnacentral:rRNA from 1 species